CCUAACCAGUAACCCUCCCGACCCUUACCAAUCCUAACUCACUCCAGGACUCCAACGGUGCAGCAGCAACAGCACACACUCUCUCCCUCGUCCCUUCCAUCACCCUCGAGCUAGUCGUUCCUCUCAACGCUGGUGAGCUCAGUCCCUCCCUUUCGUUCAGCCGCCGGACUGAUCUUGACGCCGUCGCAAGUUGGAGCUUCAAAGCUCAGUCGGUCCCUCACUCCUGCUCAUGCAGCUAACGUCUCAGACUCUCAGCAGUGGAAACACAGUCGCCGGGCUCGCCUCCUGCCUCCAUCGCGAAGCUCUCUUCCAUCGUCGUCGGCGCCAUCUCUGUUCCUCCGUCGCAAGCUCUGUUCCUGCCUCCGUCGCCAGCUCUGUUCUAUGAUUCGUUGCUUCUAGCUUCUAGAGAAAGUUGGUUGAAAUUCGACAUGUAAUGGUUGAAGAAAUCAUGAAGACUUGUUGAAUAAUAUGCUCAACAAAAGUGUCAGUUACAUAUCUUACAGAAGUUACAAUUUAUGUACUCUAAAAUUAUAAUGUGUACUCUCAUGCAGAGGUUACAAUUGGUGAGAAGUAUAUGUAGUUAUAUUUAGUUAUUAGAAGAAAAUAACUUCUAUUAGGGUUCUAUUGUAAUUUUUUUAAUUAUUAUAAAACGGUUUUUUCAGUCAACUACGGUCGAACCGGUUGACUAAAGGUUUGACGGUAUUAGAAUUUUUA